UGUGUUCACACGCCUCUGAGCAUCAGUGAGCGCAAUUUGGAUCAAUGAACUGUCACCAGCACAAAACCGGACAGGCAGCCUGCUCCGAUGCCAUUCAGAUCGCCAAUGCUAGGAUGAAGGGCUCACACUCUGUAAAAAGGCACCGCAUCACCAUACACACCUCGCACACCGAUGGGCGCAACGAGGUCACCACGCGGCCCGUACGCUCAGGCGCCCGCUGCCGGAACUCCAUUGCCUCGUGCGCCGACGAGCAGCCGCACAUCGGCAACUACCGGCUGCUCAAAACCAUCGGAAAGGGCAACUUUGCCAAGGUCAAGCUGGCGCGUCACAUCCUCACGGGCCGAGAGGUUGCCAUCAAAAUCAUCGACAAGACACAGCUGAAUCCUACCAGCCUUCAAAAGCUCUUCAGGGAAGUCCGAAUAAUGAAGAUUCUAAACCAUCCAAACAUUGUGAAACUGUUUGAGGUGAUAGAGACUGAGAAGACUCUCUACCUCGUGAUGGAAUAUGCCAGUGGAGGGGAGGUAUUUGACUACCUCGUAGCACAUGGGAGGAUGAAGGAGAAGGAGGCCAGGGCUAAAUUUAGACAGAUUGUGUCUGCUGUACAGUACUGCCAUCAGAAACACAUUGUACACAGAGACCUGAAGGCUGAGAACUUACUCCUGGACGCCGACAUGAACAUCAAGAUUGCCGACUUUGGCUUCAGUAAUGAGUUUGUCAUGGGCAGUAAGCUGGACACGUUCUGCGGCUCUCCUCCCUACGCCGCCCCAGAGCUGUUCCAGGGGAAGAAGUACGACGGACCUGAGGUGGACGUCUGGAGCCUGGGGGUCAUCCUGUACACGCUGGUGUCAGGGUCGCUGCCCUUCGACGGUCAGAACCUCAAGGAGCUGAGAGAGCGUGUUUUAAGGGGUAAAUACCGUAUCCCUUUCUACAUGUCCACCGACUGUGAAAACCUCCUCAAGCGUUUCCUGGUGCUCAACCCAUCCAAGCGCGGUACACUUGAGGUGAGGGAGGAAGGCCAAAAUCAAAUCAUGAAGGACCGGUGGAUAAACGCCGGCUGUGAGGAGGAUGAGAUGAAGCCCUUCGUGGAACCAGAAACGGACAUCACGGACCAGAAGAGAAUAGACAUCAUGGUGGGGAUGGGCUACACUCGGGAGGAGGUGACUGAGUCUCUAACCAGGAUGAAGUACGAUGAGAUCACCGCCACCUACCUGCUACUGGGAAGGAAGUCCACAGAGUUGGAGGUCAGUGACUCCAGUUCUAGCAGUAAUCUGUCUCUGGCCAAGGCGCGGCCUGCCAGCGAGCACAACAACAACGGCCAGUCUCCGGCCCACCUCAAGGCCCAGCGGUCCAUCUCCGGCACCCAGAAACAGAGACGCUACAGCGACCAGGCCGGUCCGUCCAUUCCCUCGGUGGGCUACCCCAAGAGGAGCCAGACCACCUCGGAUGACAACGGCGACCACAAAGAGGACGGGGGUGCCCAGCCACGGAAGUCUGUUUCACCAGGCGGGCGUGGUGGCAGCGGUGCCCCUGCCAGUCCCCUAUUGGGUAACGCCAACAACCCUAACAAGGCCGACAUCCCCGACCGCAAGAAGGGCUCCACCACACCCAGCACUAACUCCACAUCGGGGGGCAUGAGAAGGAGGAACACGUAUGUGUGUAGCGAGAGGAACGCCUCGGACCGCCACUCUGUCAUCCAGAACGGAAAAGAAAACAGCAUGAGUGAAAUGUCGGCGGCCUGUGCCACUAGCCCUUCUGCCUACGCCAAGUCCCUCACCGUCUCCUCAGCCUCGGUCCGCCUGCGCCACCAGAAGGCCGCGUCCCUGUCGGCUUCGGGCCACACCUGCCGCCAAACGCUGCCACCUACCGAUGGCGACUUCUUCAGGCCUAACACGUCGACGACGUCUGGCCAGCGGAACCCCGGUGGCUCCUCCACCCACAGCAUCAGCAGCGGUGCCACGCCCCCCGACAGGCUGCGUUUCCCCCGCGGCACAGCCAGCCGCAGCACCUUCCACGGCGGCCAGCUGCGGGAACGUCGCACGGCCACCUACAACGGCCCGCCGGCCUCACCCACGCUGUCGCAUGACGCCACGCCCCUCUCUCAGUCCCGUAGCCGAGGCACCACCAACCUCUUCACCAAGCUCACCUCCAAACUCACGCGCAGGGUACCCUACUGGGCUCUAAAUGUGGCUGCCGUUCGAGAUGAUGAUUGAGAGGUGUUUCGUUGCAGGACGAAGUUCAGGUACCAAAUCCCCAAAAUUGUAGAGAAUUCCUCCCCGUCGUCUCUCUUCACGCAUUGGUGUCCCUGAAAGCUAUCCAAGCUAUGGAACUUGUCCAUCAAUUUUUCCUUGAUUUACCCUUAUCCACCUGGCUAAGCAACUUGUCCCUCAAUUUCUCCUUGACUUGCUAGAUGAUAGCCCAGCCCCUAUCCUAGCCCAGUCCCUAUCCUAGAACUGGUAGAUGAUAGCCCAGUCCCUAUCCUAGAACUGGUAGAUGAUAGCCCAGUCCCUAUCCUAGAACUGGUAGAUGAUAGCCCAGUCCCUAUCCUAGAACUGGUAGAUGAUAGCCCAGCCCCUGUCCUAGCCCCUAUCCUAGAACUGGUAGAUGAUAGCCCAGCCCCUGUCCUAGCCCCUAUCCUAGAACUGGUAGAUGAUAGCCCAGCCCCUAUCCUAGAACUGGUAGAUGAUAGCCCAGCCCCUAUCCUAGAACUGGUAGAUGAUAGCCCAGCCCCAAUCCCAGAACUGGUAGAUGAUAACCCAGACCCAAUCCUAGAACAGGUAUAUGAUAGCCCAGCUCCUAUCCUAGAACUGGUAGAUGAUAGCCCAGCCCCUAUCCUAGAACUGGUAGAUGAUAGCCCAGCCCCAAUCCCAGAACUGGUAGAUGAUAACCCAGACCCAAUCCUAGAACAGGUAUAUGAUAGCCCAGCUCCUAUCCUAGAACUGGUAGAUGAUAGCCCAGCCCCUAUCCUAGAACUGGUAGAUGAUAGCCCAGCCCCUAUCCUAGAACUGGUAGAUGAUAGCCCAGCCCCUAUCCUAGAACUGGUAGAUGAUAGCCCAGCCCCUAUCCUAGAACUGGUAGAUGAUAGCCCAGCCCCUAUUCUAGAACUGGUAGAUGAUAGCCCAGUCCCUAUCCUAGAACUGGUAGAUGAUAGCCCAGCCCCUAUCCUAGAACUGGUAGAUGAUAGCCCAGCCCCUAUCCUAGAACUGGUAGAUGAUAGCCCAGUCCCUAUCCUAGAACUGGUAGAUGAUAGCCCAGCCCCUAUCCUAGAACUGGUAGAUGAUAGCCCAGCCCCUAUCCUAGAACUGGUAGAUGAUAGAACGUGUGACUUGCUUUGCUUUUGUCCACUCACUCUUAUAUUAUACUAAAUCACAUACAGAUGGAACGGACAGAUGCUGAUAUACUGGGCUAUAGGGAAAUAGCCAGUUCCAGACAGACACACAGAGCAGUAACUCUUAGAAUCAGUUCCAAAGGGCCUUUUGAUGCUCUGCAGUUCACUGCAGUCUAGCUCUAUUAACAACCAUUUCUAGUGUCCUGCCUCUCUUCAGGGGGACUCCACCAGGUCUAGUGUCCUGCCUCUCUUCAGGGGGACUCCACCAGGUCUAGUGUCCUGCCUCUCUUCAGGGGGACUCCACCAGGUCUAGUGUCCUGCCUCUCUUCAGGGGGACUCCACCAGGUCUAGUGUCCUGCCUCUCUUCAGGGGGACUCCACCAGGUCUAGUGUCCUGCCUCUCUUCAGGGGGACUCCACCAGGUCUAGUGUCCUGCCUCUCUUCAGGGGGACUCCACCAGGUCUAGUGUCCUGCCUCUCUUCAGGGGGACUCCACCAGGUCUAGUGUCCUGCCUCUCUUCAGGGGGACUCCACCAGGUCUAGUGUCCUGCCUCUCUUCAGGGGGACUCCACCAGGUCUAGUGUCCUGCCUCUCUUCAGGGGGACUCCACCAGGUCUAGUGUCCUGCCUCUCUUCAGGGGGACUCCACCAGGUCUAGUGUCCUGCCUCUCUUCAGGGGGACUCCAGUCCAUCCAGCCCAUAUGGAGCACAUGUGGGAUGUGUGAAAUGUACUCCUCAGCCUGAAAUGUACCCACUUACCUGAGAAAAUAGCUAGCUUUUCACAUGGUGCCGACUGUUAAGACUCUUCAGGAGAGUGGUCACGUGUGCUAGCAAGGCAGAGGUCACGAGUUCGCGCUGUUGGGCCAAAUCGUGAGGAAGUGGUACUCACUAAGCAAGCAGCGUGAUAUCAUCUUUACACAGAGAUAGGGCUCCUUCUGUUUAAGCAUCAAACAAACCCCCCCCUCUCUCUCUUUCUCCUUGUCUUUUCUCACACAGCCAACUAGGCCCAGCACUCCCGUCUGCAUGACUCCAACUGAAUCUUCUUAGAUGUGUUUGUUUCUUCUGUGUACGUGUGUGUGUGUGUGUGUGUGUGUGUGUGUGUGUGUGUGUGUGUGUGUGUGUGUGUGUGUGUGUGUGUGUGUGUGUGUGUGUGUGUGUGUGUGUGUGUGUGUGUGUGUGUGUGUGUGUGUGUGUGUGUGUGUGUGUGUGUGUGUGUGUGUGUGUGUGUGUGUCUAGGUCGAUCUGCACUUGAUUGUGUGAAUAUUCCUUUAAAGUCAUAUCUAUGUAUCUUUAAUGUGUCUUGCAUCUUUUCAUCUGAAUACACACAUUGCUGCCUGCACGCCUCGACCAAAAUCCUCUGUAAAUGGACCGAGAAUGUACAUGGUAAUAGAGCUGAAUGCCAACAGGAAGUUCAACACUGACCCACAGCAUCUGACGGGGUGCUUUCGUGUCAUUACACCUUAAAGAACUUCUCUGCUGUUAAUCUUAUAGUUCUACUGAUGGUGUGACAUGUCCAGCUCCCAGACCUGUCAUUAGGAAUGGUCCUGGUGUAGAUAGAGGUUAACACUGCCUUCCUGCCAUUAGGAAUGGUCCUGGUGUAGAUAGAGGUUAACACUGCCUUCCUGCCAUUAGGAAUGGUCCUGGUGUAGAUAGAGGUUAACACUGCCUUCCUGCCAUUAGGAAUGGUCCUGGUGUAGAUAGAGGUUAACACUGCCUUCCUGCCAUGAGGAAUGGUCCUGGUGUAGAUAGAGGUUAACACUGCCAAUACAGAAUAUUAUAGAGAUAUAGAGAUGUUUUCAUCUCUCUCGCUCUCCUUUCUUAAUAUCUCAAAUUGAAAAGCUUUUUUCCCCACCUGCUGUAUCAGUACUUUUGAUCCGCUCCCUUUUUUCCCCACCUGCUAUAUCAGUACUUUUGAUCCGCUCCCUUUUUUCCCCACCUGCUAUAUCAGUACUUUUGAUCCGCUCCCUUUUUUCCCCACCUGCUAUAUCAGUACUUUUGAUCCGCUCCCUUUUUUCCCCACCUGCUAUAUCAGUACUUUUGAUCCGCUCCCUUUUUUCCCCACCUGCUAUAUCAGUACUUUUGAUCCGCUCCCUCUUUUCCCCACCUGCUAUAUCAGUACUUUUGAUCCGCUCCCUUUUUUCCCCACCUGCUGUAUCAGCACUUUUGAUCCGCUCCCUUUUUUCCCCACCUGCUGUAUCAGCACUUUUAAUCCGCUCCCUUUUUUCCCCACCUGCUGUAUCAGUACUUUUGAUACGCUCCCUUUUUCCCCACCUGCUGUAUCAGCACUUUUGAUACGCUCCCUUUUUCCCCACCUGCUGUAUCAGCACUUUUGAUACGCUCCCUUUUUCCCCACCUGCUGUAUCAGUACUUUUGAUACGCUCCCUUUUUAACUGGAAUGUAAGAUCUGAUUUCCUUUCCCUUCUCUCUUUCUAUCUGUUCUAUCAUG